rnacentral:lncRNA from 1 species
UUGAGAGAAAUUCAAUGAUACUUUGAUAGAAAUCAUUGUAUAUCUCACUAUCAGAUAAAAUUGAAUUUAUGAGGUUACAUAACAAACGGAUUAGAUCUGAAAUAAGCAAUUGGACUUAUGAAGUCUCAAUUGGGUUUAAAGAAAUUUUAUUGGGUUCAGAGUAAUCUUGCUAGUACAUGAUUGAAUCCAAUUUUUUCUCUGCACUUGAAUUACUUAUUUGAUAAAAGUAAUUCAAGUUUAAUUAUCUGUUUAUAAUCUUAAUGAAUUAGAUUCGUUGGGCUCCAAUUAUUGGGUGCUUAGGGUUUUGGAUCGUAUGGAUUAAGGGAUCAAAUCCUUAAUCAAUUUUCUUAAUUAUUUAGAUGGGGCACCACUUGAUUUAAUCAAGUUGGAUGUGUCCCUUAAAAGCAGACGUGUGGGGCU